CCUACGGGUGGCAGCAGUGAGGAAUAUUGGUCAAUGGACGAGAGUCUGAACCAGCCAAGUAGCGUGAAGGAUGACUGCCCUAUGGGUUGUAAACUUCUUUUAUAUGGGAAUAAAAUGUUCCACGUGUGGGAUUUUGUAUGUACCAUAUGAAUAAGGAUCGGCUAACUCCGUGCCAGCAGCCGCGGUAAUACGGAGGAUCCGAGCGUUAUCCGGAUUUAUUGGGUUUAAAGGGAGCGUAGGUGGAUUGUUAAGUCAGUUGUGAAAGUUUGCGGCUCAACCGUAAAAUUGCAGUUGAAACUGGCAGUCUUGAGUACAGUAGAGGUGGGCGGAAUUCGUGGUGUAGCGGUGAAAGUCUUAGAUAUCACGAAGAACUCCGAUUGCGAAGGCAGCUCACUGGACUGCAACUGACACUGAGGCUCGAAAGUGUGGGUAUCAAACAGGAUUAGAUACCCUAGUAGUC
rnacentral:rRNA from 1 species